CUUUAUUCAACUUAUCCUUAAUGUUAUGCUGGAAAAGUAAUAUUCAACAAAAUAAUGUCAAGGAUGGUGCAUUGCUGCUUUCUUGAUGAUACUUGGCAGCAUACUAAUAUCAAUCAGCAAAAUAAGUACAAAAUUUUAUUAUGUAAUUAAUGUAUUUCAGUAUAGAAUUUUUUAUACAAAUCAGAUUCUUGUUUAUAUAUGAAGUUGAGUGAUCCUAUAAUAAAGCUAAGGGAAAGUCACUCUUUUCAAAGCUACCUCAUUGGGAUUUUGCAUUGAAAUCAUCAAGAUCAUGAGCAGAAGUUGAGGAAGAGGCUGUGAUGGAAAAUGAAGUUGAAAGCUCGUUUUCCAUCUGUUUAUGAUGUUCUUUCCUUGCCUUAGAACUCAUAUAUGACUCUUCAUUGAUUUCAUAUAAAUCACUGGCAAAAGCAGCUGAAGAAUCAUGCUCAGACCCAACUCAUGUUGAAUUAUAGUCUUUUCCUCUUGCACUCUGACUUCUUGUUUGUAUUUUAUGCUCUCUUAUGGCUUUAAACCUCAAGUCUUCAUUAUAGCUACUUGCUUCAGGGAUUAUAUCAGGUAUACUUCUAGUUCCCUCUAGCAUGCACAACACUUCAGACAUUGUUGGUCUUAGUGAAGAUGAAGCAUUUGUGCAUGAGAGAGCAGUUUUAAUCAUCCUUUCUGCUUCUACCUCCUUGAAAUCAGAUCCACGUUUCUCAUCCACAAGCUCCAUCAGGUUUCCAUUUUGCUGCAAGUAGCAAGCCCAGUCUAGAAGGCAAGCAAAUUUGUUCUCUGGCCCAUAAUUCAUAUUGUGUUUCCCACUAACAAGUUCCAAUGCCACAAUUCCAAAACUGUAAACAUCAGCUUUCUCAGUCAGCUGCCCUCGUAUCAGAUACUCCGGAGCCAUAUACCCCCUGCAUCAAUAAUGUAUAUGUAGUUUAAUUGAAAAUAAACAAAAAAAGAAAUGCUACUUUUGAUUUUGAAUUUUUUACUCUAUCCACCAAUGAUCAGAUGCCCGUGAAGGGGAGUAUCACUUAUGCUUUUUAGGUGGGGACGUACAUUGUUCCUGCAAUUCCAGUGCUAAGAUGAGUCUUAUCAGCACCAAAACACCGAACAAGUCCAAAAUCUGCAAUCUUGGGAGUGAGAUUCUCAUCAAGAAGAACAUUACUGCUUUUAAUGUCCCUGUGGAUUAUUCUCUCUUGAGAACCUCCAUGAAGAUAUGCAAGCCCCUCUGCUGUUCCCACAAUUAUAUCAAACCGCUCCUUCCAAUUUAGAGUUCUGGUUUUCUUCUUUCCAAAAAUAAACUGAUCGAGGCUCUUGUUAGCGACAUACUCAUAAACCAGAAGACUCUCAGGACCUUCAAUGCUACAUCCCAAAAGCUUCACAAGGUUCUUGUGUUGAAUUCCACUAAUUAAGUUUACCUCAUUGAAGAAUUCAUCCACCCAUUGUCUUGUGUUGAAAAUCAAUCUUUUAACUGCAACAGUCUGCCCAUUUGGAAGAGUCGCUACAAAUACAGAACCAGCUCCUCCUUGACCAAUUUUCUUCGAUGGGUUGAAAUAAUCCGUCGCCUUUUCCAGGGUCUCAUACUUGAAAUUCAAACUUGAUUUGUUGAAACUGAUUGAAAUUUUUUCAAGAUUGAUGCGUUCUUGUUUUUUCUUUAAUAAUCUUCUAUAGGUAGCAUAAGCUGCAAAGAGAGACAGCAUGAUGAAAGCAGCUGCCGCUAAAGCAAUAGCAAUAGUAACUCCUAAGGCAGAAAAUCCAUGAGCAUGCCCUAAUUCUGCUUCAUGAUCAAAGAACUUGUCAGUCGAGUAUCUUAAAUAGCAGCCCGAAUUCAUCCCUCUGCCUUCCUUGCCAGGCAAACAUCCUUUCACCUCCUCCUCUGCCUUCUCCAAACACGCUCUACACCCAUCUUUGUCAAUACUCUCCCAACACUGAGCCAAAGCAUAAACACCUUCAAUCCCUACUGCAGCAAACCCACCAUUCUCCACAGCUUUACUACUCGCAUUAGCAACCGCAUAACUAACACUCGUUACAAACUUCAACUUCCCAUUUUCAUCACCAGAACCCGAAACGUUUCCCUGGCUACAUUUGACAGCAUCAAGAGAAGGGGACACAGCCUCCUGAAAAAAAUCAUAUUUAUCAUAACGUAGAAAGCACCCAUCAAGAUAGAUGCGACCAGAGACGGAGGGGAGGCAACGGGGGAUCUUGGUGCGAGAUGCAGCGUAGCAGAGGAGGCAAUCAAUCUGGGAGAGGUCUUGGUGGCAUUGGGCUAAAGCGUAUAUAGGAACUGUGGAGUUGUUGAGGUGGUAAGUGGCGAAGUGGGUAUUGGUUAUGAGCUGCGAAAGCGUUUCCAUUUCUUUAACAAAAGCUGGGACUAGGUCCUUGAGGCCUGUUGAAUUGCCGCAAAAGAGGCCGGAUUGGGUGAUUCGAGGAUCGGAGAGGGAGAGAGAGAUGAAGGAGUAGAAAAAGGAAGAGAAGAGCCAUGUUCUAUGUAAUAAUGGGUAGUUCAGAGUUAAAGAAUGCAUGGAAAUAGUUCUCUACUUCUUCCUCUGUCUGUGUAAAACUCUGAAGAAGAAGAAGA
rnacentral:misc_RNA from 1 species